rnacentral:rRNA from 1 species
GACGAACGCUGGCGGCGUGCCUAAUACAUGCAAGUAGAACGCACAGUUUAUACCGUAGCUUGCUACACCAUAGACUGUGAGUUGCGAACGGGUGAGUAACGCGUAGGUAACCUGCCUGGUAGCGGGGGAUAACUAUUGGAAACGAUAGCUAAUACCGCAUAAUAUUAAUUAUUGCAUGAUAAUUAAUUGAAAGGUGCAAUUGCACCACUACCAGAUGGACCUGCGUUGUAUUAGCUAGUAGGUGAGGUAACGGCUCACCUAGGCGGCGAUACAUAGCCGACCUGAGAGGGUGAUCGGCCACACUGGGACUGAGACACGGCCCAGACUCCUACGGGAGGCAGCAGUAGGGAAUCUUCGGCAAUGGACGAAAGUCUGACCGAGCAACGCCGCGUGAGUGAAGAAGGUUUUCGGAUCGUAAAGCUCUGUUGUAAGAGAAGAACGGGUGUGAGAGUGGAAAGUUCACACUGUGACGGUAUCUUACCAGAAAGGGACGGCUAACUACGUG